rnacentral:rRNA from 1 species
UACGUAGGGGGCGAGCGUUGUCCGGAUUUAUUGGGCGUAAAGAGCUCGUAGGCGGUUUGGUAAGUUGGAUGUGAAAUCUCCAGGCUCAACUUGGAGGGGUCAUUCGAUACUGCCAUGACUAGAGUUCGGUAGGGGAGUGUGGAAUUCCUGGUGGAGCGGUGAAAUGCGCAGAUAUCAGGAGGAACACCCGUAGCGAAGGCGGCUCACUGGCCCGAUACUGACGCUGAGGCACGAAAGCGUGGGGAGCAAACAGG